AUAGUUUUAAAUCUCAACUCCUUGCCAAAAAAAGAUCCUGUAUCGUGCUAUUAAGAAUAAUUGGUACCUGCUACCCCUUUUGGGUGUGUGCAGCCAUGCAUGGUGCCAUGGCAACAAGGAUGCCAAGCAGCCAGUUGUGUACUCAUCUCUGUCCAACUCGUCUUUCAGUGAUUGUGACCCCCACUUCCUCCUCCUCCCUUCAGUACGCCAACUAUUUUAACACACUAGGAAUUGCGUCAGUUACUUUAGGGAGAUAUUCAUUUCAUGCUGGGACAAGUAUUUAAAGGGGUAGAGUCAGCUGGGAACCCAGAACUGCUGCCUAGCACAACCCGUGCAUCACCAGUCACACUCCGCUGAUGCACUGCUUAGUCUCUUCACAGAUGCUCGGUGGGCGGUUGUCAUGACGACUCAUGGGGGACACAUGAAGAGGGAAGGCGACUACUACGCCAUGAUGC